rnacentral:lncRNA from 1 species
CUCUACCUCCUCUUAAUUGCUUUGGAAGAAAACCAAGAAAAGAGAAACGAGAAAGAAGAAAAACAUUCAGCUUGAUUUUCUUGGGUCCUUUCCACUGUGCUUUCCUCCUUAGCGUGUUUCAGACAAAACUACCUUCCAGCACACCACUUCUG